rnacentral:lncRNA from 1 species
AUGAAGGACGUGUGUCUCUCCUGGAGUGACUCAGCAAAGCCAACUGGCGCACAAUCCUCAGGAAGUGCCUACUGGGUUAAAAGAAACCUCACAGCUGCUCUGUGCUGCCUUUAUUACUGGUUAUGGACCACCUUCGUGGAGCGACUCGAGGUCUCCACAGGUCAGAAACCUUUGCCCCAGUGCUGCCCCUGUUCCGGUUUAACUUUAGUCGGUGGCCAAGACUGUCACGUCCCUGUCUCACCCUAGUCAAAAGGUUUUCAGUCCAAAUGGCACCCUAGAGUCCAAAAUGACUGCCAGUGCUUGAGUUCUUAAACCUCUUCCCGGCCAUGAUCAAGGUCAGUCACUUACUGUACCAUUUUCACCCACAUCCCAUUGACUACAUCUAGAAAAUGGCUGUCUCUAGCUGCAAGGCAGUCUGGGAAAUGAAGUCUUUAUUCCAGAAAGCCAUAUGCCCAACUAAAAACUAGGAUUUCUUUUUCCAUAUGAAAAGAAGAAACAGAUAGGGGACUAUUGUCAGCACUGCUUUGCACUCUCACUUCUUCCUUGGGCCUGAAGUAUUCAUUCAUUUACACGUGUAUUCAUUUAUACACUUAUUCACUCAACAUUAAUUCACUCAGAAAUGUUAAUGAGAAUCUAUUUGUGCCAGGCUGUAUACUAGUGACUGAGGAAAAGAAAAUGGUUAAGAGUUACCUUCGAAAAUAUAGUAGGAGGAGGGGGAAAGACCACAGAUAAUUACACUAUAACAUCACAAGUACCAGAAUAAACUGUCUAGACAGAUAAGGUCA